rnacentral:rRNA from 1 species
GGACUACAGGGGUUUCUAAUCCCGUUCGCUCCCCUAGCUUUCGCCCCUGAGCGUCAGGUACUCCCCAGGACACUGCCUUCGCCUUUGGUAUUCCUCCGGAUAUCUACGCAUUUCACCACUCCACCCGGAAUUCUGUGUCCCUCUGAAGUCCUCCAGUCAUGCCGUCUUCGAGGCGCUCUCCCAGUUAAGCCGGGAGCUGUAACCCCAAACUGACACAACCGCCUGCGGGCCCUUUACGCCCAAUAAAUCCGGACAACGCUCGCCCCCUACGUAUUACCGCGGCUGCUGGCAC